AACCCCUGAUUUAAACCACCAUUGCCCCGCCCACUCUGGUGCUUACUCUGUGUUCCAGGAUUGCGCGUGGAGUUAGCUAACUAGCAGAUUGGGGUAGAUAGUAAACACCUGCCAGAGAGCCGGAGCUGUUUUGACGGAUAAACUGGCGGGAUACAUUCUCCCUCGCGUUCUGAAGGAUUAUCGUAUGUUUCACACUUCAAGGAGAUCAUUUAAGGUUAAACUCAAGGGACGACUGAAAUCUGUUGUGAGGUGCUACGAGUUUCCUGUACCAGACUCGUGUUAUUUUCAGACCACCAAUCACAACUCGUCCUGGAGGAUUUCAUUGAGGAGCUGCGGCCUCCAUUCAACCAACAAGCUCUAGUCUCUGGAGGGCUGUGAGGAAGACCAAGGCUGCAGGGAGGGGGUGCAAGCUGAGCCACCACCAAUGACGUUACUGAAGAAUGUAUUUUGAGGCCUCACCUCAGAGGAAGCCAAGGCAAAUGUUUGAGCCACCUGUUGCAGGAAACUUGAAGCCCUCUGGAGGAGUGAAGAUGGAGAAGAAGCGAAGGCUGUGCUCCAGGUACAGGUCUCCUCUCAACCAGAACAGACAGAGGCGACGUGAUUCUCAACCAGCUGUUUGAGCUGACACACUGCGUCCUGGGACUCGGCCAGUCUUGAGGUCAAUGUCUGGUUCUCCUUCUCCCUGGACAUCAACAGCUCCUGCAGGGCCUCCCGCUCUGCACGAUUGUCCCGUGCCUGAUGGGUAGUGUGCAAGCAUCAGCAGCCUCCAGAGCCAUCUCGUCCUGCUUCCUGAGGGCCUCCUGGAGGAGCUGCGUCAGGUGGUUCACCUCGCCCUCCAGUUGCUCUCGAGUGGUCUCAUGCUCCACCCGGGACACUGAAUCAUCUGGGGUGACAUCCUUCUCUGCUGUCAGCCUUUGGGGAUUCAAACUCAUCCUGGGUGGAGUGGAAGGAGGAGUUGGAGGCCAUGCUGUCUGGACGACUGUCCUCCUUCAGGUCCUCGUUUCCAGAGAAGGAUGGAUGUUUCUGUGAGGUGAGAGUGGAAAGAGUGACCAGUCUGUCUUUACAGAGGGGCUGAACACCAAUCAAACCAAGAUACUGUUUGGCACUCGUCUUGAAAAAGUUGAUUCAUUAUUUAUUGGUUAUCAAAUGAAUCACUGAAUCGUUUUUUUUUCUUCAAUCAAAGAAUCACUCCAUCAUCUGUACACAAGUUUAAAUGAUUAAACUUAAACCAAAACAAACAGGGAUGACAAUCUGAGUGUAGCUCACUUAUGGUUGGGUUUUUACACCUGUCGCUGUUCUCAUGCUAGAUUUGGUUGAUAUGAAUCUUAGUGAAUAUAGGACAAUGUUUCUUACACCUUAAUGCUCAUCAGCUGUUCAUGUGUAUUUGACAACAUAUUGUAUGAUCUGACAUAAUUAAUGCAUUUAUGAAUCUGAGGUUUUUAAGCUUUGGUGUCAAACACAUGUCAAACACUUUGUUUAAGUGUUUGACAUGUCUGUCAAAUAGAACAAGCUUUUUUACCCAUUUAAGUAUAUAUUUAACUUUUUUUUUCUAUCUCCAUAUAGACAAAAAAAAAAGACUAAAAUCUUCAGAUUACUCCAUAAAAAAACGUGUAAGUUGCAGCCCCUACACUUUAAAUGUUGUGACUAGGUUUUACCUUGCACUCUAAAAAUGGGGGGUGCAUAUUUUUCUACCCUUUAGUUUAUCUUGGCACAAUGUUUCUAUGGAAUUUUUUUUGACAUUUUAAUUGUUUCUCUUAUCUUAUCUGGCUGCAAAGAAAUGUGGUCCAACCUUGAUUCUGAUUUUAGAAAUAUUUCACUCGACACACAGUCCUCCCUCUGUGUGAAAAGUUGGACACAAUGUUGGACUACAGCAGCCACAUAUUACUAAUAUUAUUAUUUAUUGUUACUAUGGCAUUGUACACUGACUUAAUGUUUCAAAAUAAAACUGAUAGUGUGACUUUGCUUUUAA